GACAGAGGUGCCAAGCGUUAGGCGGAAUCACUGGGCUUAAAGCGUGUGUAGGCGGAACGUUAAGUGCCUUGUGAAAUCCCACGGCUCAACCGUGGAACUGCUGGGCAUACUGGCGUUCUUGAGCCAGCCAGGGGUCGUCGGAACAAACGGUGGAGCGGUGAAAUGCGUAGAUAUCGAGAGGAACACCUGCGGCGAAGGCGGGUUGCUGGGCUGAUACUGACGCUGAGGCGCGAAAGCCAGGGGAGCGAACGGG
rnacentral:rRNA from 1 species